rnacentral:tRNA from 1 species
AGGAUAAUAGUUAAACAUAACAUUUAAUUUGCACUUAAAAAAUAUUGAAAUAUCAAUUUAUCUUU